rnacentral:tRNA from 1 species
GUGGCUAUAGCUCAGUUGGUAGAGCCCUGGAUUGUGAUUCCAGUUGUCGUGGGUUCGAGU